GUGCUGGGAUUACAGGCGUGAGCCACCGCGCCUGGCCAGCCCAUUCUUUAAUAUAUUCCUGAGGAAAGGCACAUGACAACAUAUUUCCUGAUAGCAGAUUGUUUGUGUCUUUUAUAUUUGUGGACAUUUUGCUAGAUAUAAAAUCCUGGGCUUCACUCUCAAGCAGGCUUUCUAUAGGUAGAGACAAGAUGUCUACCAGUGGCUCCAGAAUUGUACCCUUCUAGCUUAAUAACCCUGGAAGACAGAGAGUUUUGCUUUUCAAAUAAUUCCAGCAAGUCUUGGGAUGAGUUCUGAUUUUACUCUUUUGAGUCAUGUUUUCAUCUUGAAGCCAAUCACUAUUGUCAAGUGGAUGAAAUGCAAACAUGAGCCAGGCAUGAACUGUACAUUCAUCCUGGAUCUAAGGAGUGGGAUAGCCCCAUCCAAGCCAAAUGGAUCAAGAGUGGGAAGGGAUGGAUUCCCCAGGGACUAUCAGUGUGCUGUCAGUAGAAAAGGCAGGAAUCGAGGUUAGAUAGGCAAAAGCAAUAGGUAAAUAUCCACUAUAGUUUCACAUGUAUGGAUAGAUUUUCCUCAAAUUAUUUGCCAGUUGUUUCAGGGAUGAAUCCUUCAUCUGUCCAACUAGGAAUGGAACUGCCAUAAAGGCCUACUUUUGUGAUUGUAGCAACACCUAACGAGAGGCCAGAUAUUUACUCAGUUGGGCAAAGCUACAACACUCCACUACUUAGAUGAAUCUGGUCUAACAUUGUAGUAGUAUGAAUCCUGUGGCCAGAUGUAUUGUCAUGAUCAGUUAUUAGGAAAAAUACUUAACUGAAAAGACAUUGUCAGACAUGCCAUUUGACAACAAAUAUGUGAAACAAGGAGACCAACAAAUAGAAAAACAUAUUAAGAGAAGGUUCUGACCUUUUGAAAUAUAAUCAGAAGUAGAAUUUGCUUUUAAUGCUGCAAAUGGAAACUUAAAAUGAUAGAAUUGGUUAAAAUUACAAAUUAAAUAUAGAUAAAAUUCCAUUUCUAGCAGCAGAAGAAGAGAUUGUUAUGUGUCACUAUCAAAUGCAACAAAUACAUUUGGCAAAGGAAUCUUUUGAAGUUGGGGUCUUGAAAAAGUCCAUUUUCAUGGACUGGGUUCCAAUUGGGUAUCAAUAUUUUAGAUGAUAGAAAUUAAGUAGCAAUUACUCUAUUAAGAUGGGGAGGUGGUAGGUCUUUCAUAGAUAAAACAUUUAGGUAGCAGAAUACAAAGUCAUUUUUAAAAAUUCUAGCAUUUAUUGCAUGCAUUUUUCCCUUCUGAUUUUCCAUGUUUCUUGGGCUUGAGCUAUAGAAUGACUGAACCGUGCCUUUUUCCAGUGAUUUCUUACUGCAUCUUCCUUAGUAGCAAUGGGGGGCAGUUAUAUUAAAAUUUAAACAUUCUUUAAAAAUAUAAGAUGUGGAGCAGAAACCCGCAUCCAGGAACAGAGCCCUUUGCUCCUCCCUCAGAAUGAAUGGAGACCAGAAAUCAGAUGUUUAUGUCCAAGAAAAGCAGGAUUUCAUUCAGCACUUCUCCCAGAUCGUUAGGGUGCUGACUGAGGAUGAGAUGGGGCACCCAGAGACAGGAGAUGCUAUUGCCCGGCUUAAGGAGGUCCUGGAGUACAAUGCCAUUGGAGGCAAGUAUCACCAGGGUUUGACGGUGCUGGUAGCAUUCCGGGAGCUGGUGGAGCCAAGGAAACAGGAUGCUGAUAGUCUCCAGCGGGCCCUGACUGUGGGCUGGUGUGUGGAACUGCUGCAAGCUUUCUUCCUGGCAGCAGAUGACAUCAUGGAUUCAUCCCUCACCUGCCAGGGACAGAUCUGCUGGUAUCAGAAGCCAGGUGUGGGUUUGGAUGCCCAUCAAUGAUGCUAUCCUUCUGGAAGCAUGUAUCUACUGCCUGCUGAAGCUCUACUGCUGGGAGCAGCCCUCUUACCUGAACCUGAUCAAGCUCUUCCUGCAGAGUUCCUAUCAGACUGAGAUUGGGCAGACCUGGACCUCAUCACAGGCCCCCAGGGCAAUUCGGAUCUUGGCAGAUUCACUGAAAAGAGGUACAAAUCUAUUGUCAAGUACAAGACGGCUUUCUACUCCUUCUACCUUCCUAUAGCUGCAGCCAUGUACAUGGCGGGAAUUGAUGGUGAGAAGGAGCAUGCCAACACCAAGAAGAUCCUGCUGGAGAUGGGAGAGUUCUUUCAGAUUCAGGAUGAUUACCUUGACCUCUUUAGGGACCCCAGUGUGACUGGCAAAGUUGGCACUGACAUCCAGGACAACAAAUGCAGCUGACUGGUAGUUCAGUAUCUGCAGCAGGUCACUCUAGAACAGUACAGAUCAUGAAGGAAAAUUACGGGCAGAAGGAGGCUGAGAAGGUGGCCCGGGUGAAGGCAUUAUAUGAGGAGCGGGAUCUGCCGGCCGUGUUCUCACAGUAUGAGGAAGACAGUUACAGCCACAUUAUGGGUCUCACUGAACAGUAUGCAGCACCCCUGCCCCCAGCUAUCUUUCUGGGGCUUGUGCACAAAAUCUACAAGUGGAAAAAGUGACCUAGAGACUGCAAGGGCGGGGAGAGGAGGCUCUCAACAAAUAAAUUAUUGUGUAAUCUUAAAAUAUAUAUAUAUGAUGUAUACUUACAAAAUAAUGUAGCACAAGAAAAAGUGACCUAAGAUUACUUCUGAAAAAACAAUUAAAGGAAGCAAGUUCAUUAUU